CCUACGGGAGGCAGCAGUGGGGGAUAUUGCACAAUGGGCGGAACCCUGAUGCAGCGAAGUAGCGUGGGUGAAGGAGUGCUUCGGCGCGGAAAGCUGUAUCGGCAGGGAAGUAGGAGGACGGUACCUGACUAAUUAGCCCCUGCUAACUACGUGCCAGCAGCCGCGUUAAUACGUAGGGGGCAAGCGUUUUCCGGAUUUACUGGGUGUAACGGGGGCGCAGACGGCAGCGCAAGCCAGGUGUGAAAGCCCGGGGCGCAACCCCGGGAUUGCACGUGGAACUGCGCGGCUGGAGUGCAGGAAGAGCAGGCGGAAUUCGUGGUGGAGCGGUGAAAUGCGUAGAUAUGAGGAGGAACACCGGUGGCGAAGGCAGCCUGCUGAACUGGGACUGACGUUGAGGCCCGAAAGCGUGGGGAGCAAACAGGAUUAGAUACCCUAGUAGUC
rnacentral:rRNA from 1 species